GCUCCCAACCUUCCCAGGCAGAUAUCUUAUCCCAGCCUUCUCAAGUUCACUGUUAGUGGUUCUUUGGCCUCUAUCCAUCAGAACUCCAAUAGACACCACUUUUCUUCCAUCUUCCCAUUUUGAAAAGAGAGAGAUGUGCGUAUCCACCGCUCCACCUCUCCACUGCCGUACCAGUGACACCAUCCCAACUUUCUUUCUAGCAGAUCUUGAUUUGUUAUCCAACCUUAGGGUAUUCGAUGAUGCUCUAAUGAUUGAAUCUAUCGGUUUUCUCUGAGCCGCAGUCCCUACAACGUCUUACGUAAACAGCGUCUGUGACCUGUGUUGUCUUCAAAUGAUGCCAAUGUGAAUUUUAAGGUGCGGAUGUUAACCGUCACGCUGGUGAAGUUUAGGUAUGUUUAUCAUGGUUUUAUUUAAUUAGGGUUUUUAUUUAUGAUCAUUCGAUUUCCUUUGUUUAAAUAUUUUCUUUGUGCAAGAUGAUCAGAUGUAUAGUAGAGUUGUAUCGUAUUCGAAUAAUAAGCAUUUCGGAACCAUGUUUCUUUUUACUUACACCGUCACUUUACCCUUACACAAUACUUCUUAGAUGCUCAGUCAUUAUACCUUACACCACACAUGUCCACUUCAAAAACACCGCCACUGCAUUGGUCCAUCACGGAAAAGGGUAUAACCAGUUAACGCAAUAGAAUCUGUUCACAAUUAUACGUGAAAUUUUUUGUUUUAACAACUUGCUUGGUGAUCUUAUCAUCUGAACUCGUAAUCAUAAAAUUGCACUCAAAAGUCGAUAGGAAUGAUUACGAUUUUGUGAGGACCAGCCUUGCUGCUUGCAAGGCUUUGAUGUUGUCUAUGAUAUAAAUGGUGUGCAGAAUCCAAAAAAUGUAUUUUUCACAAUUGUUUUUUUUCAUAAUUUGUAGGAAAUUAAAAAAACUGGUGCAUAUGACAAGUUUACCCCUAAUGAGUAGUAACAAUCAGAGUCCCAUGCUUAUUAUUUUAGUUUUCGCAAGUUAUAAUAGUAAAUUUUUCAUAAUCCAUGCUCCACAUUUUUUUUAUUUAUUAUAGCUUAUAAAUUGCAUUGUGUAUUUUGCUGACAAAUUGAUACUUUUCAGUUAUUAGAACUGGGUCUUUUUUUUCAAGCUCGGAUCCAGUUUUACCUUACGCUUUUGCAUAAUGUUUGUCGGAAGACGACCCAAGCGGAGUUCCGAUGGUGGGGCAGAAUUGGUCAGGUUUAGGCUGUUAAUUUAUUCAUUAUGUGGUUGUAUGUAGAUGUUAAUUGUGUUUGUAUAUUGUUAACUCUGUUUCCUUUUGGAUUGGAAGAUCUAAGGAGAUGUAGAGACUAGAGAUUAAAAUAAAAUUUAAAUGAUUUGAUAUACUUUUUACUCCGUUUGAGUAAGAUUUUUGGUCAAUUCAUGGAUAGCUGGGAUAAUGACGAAACCUCAUGUCAGUGCACUGCUAUUACUUGCUAUCCAAGUGACCAAAGGGUUCUAGCCAUGUAAGUCUUUUUUUUUAUUCCAAGUAAUCAACUUUUUUACAACACAUUUUAAAAAAAUAUAUAUAAAAAGGACAUGGUCAACUACUGACUAAACAUAUAUUGUAGUGUAUUUGGUUUUAUAUUUAGCUACAUUUUAGUAUCGGUACUAUGCGGUAUGGUACCGGUUCGGUAAUUUUAAUGGUACCGUUCCAUACCGGUACCCACUGAACAUAUAUGUUGCUGCAUUCGGUUUUGAAUUCAGCUAAAUUUUGGUGUGGUACUAUAUAUGGUUUGGUACGAUACCAGUGCAGAACCAAAUCGUGAAUGCACUUCAUUUGGGCAUAUGAGAAAGGGCUUAACUGGAGUAUAUGGUAAAUCAGUUUGGAAAUCGGCUGAUUUAAUAGCUUAAUUGAAGUGAUAAUUUUACAUCAUUGUUUGUGAAUUUCCUUCUUUUUUGGUAAUUGCUAAAUUGAUUUGUUAAUUUUGAGUAUAUUGACGAUUUGGUACAUUUUUUUUCAAGAAUCAAAAUUUUGUUUUAUAAAGGGUUAAAGCUCAAGAUUUAAGAUCAUACAAAGGUUUUGGUUCCUUCAAGUUCUUUAGAACCCGUUUAAAAUUUAAUUUUACAGUUUUUGGUUCCUUCAAGAUUAUGGCAGCUAUUGCUAUGGAGUUUAGCGAACCAAGCAAGCCUAGGGCGCGGUACACAAGACCAUAUAGCCAAUCCCUGUCAAUGAAGUGAUCCUUCCAUGAUUAAAGGUUGCAGGAACGAAUUUCAUCAUCAAUGCACUCUUGAAUGAUGCUUGAAGGUGAGCCACCGUUAUCGAAUCUUGAAGCUUAUGAAGCAGCAAAAUAUGUGGCGGAAGGACACAAAACUAUACUAAAAUCAAAAGGUUACACUCCUGAACCAAAGAAGUUUGGCAACCAACUCAAAACGGUGAAACCAAGACCAUAUUAACUAAGCACAUCACCAACAGGAACAUGUUGGACUAGAAGAUGACACUCUAUGAUCAUAAUCAGACUGGUCCAGGGCUCGAUUUGGCCGAGUCAUCUAAACAUAAAGAUAUGUGAUUUUGGUUACUAAAAGGUAAACAUUAAUUUACUUUUCGUAAUAUUGAUUUUGGUUUGAUUUGAUUUGUAUAUGAUCUACUUCGGUCUUAGUCCUACAUUCACAACCAAAAUCCAGAGUUGGAACACCGGCGUAAGUUGCCCCAAAAGUGACACUAGCACAACAUUUUGUGCUUAUUUGUUCGAAAUCUAAAUUGGUUUUUGCUUUGUUAUUUGUCUUGGGUGAAUGUUUUUUAGUGUCACAUGACUCAUUUUGUAUCAUCACUAGAUUACGUGUUUGUAUAAGUUGAUCCAAUUGUAAGUUACUGGAGUCUUUAACAUAAUUAUUGUGCAUUA